CGUGGAUUGGCGCAGUUGGUAGCGCAUCGGUCUGAUAUGCCGAGGGUCUUUGGUUCGAAUCCAAAAUCCACGACCA
rnacentral:tRNA from 1 species